UACGUAGGGUGCGAGCGUUAAUCGGAAUUACUGGGCGUAAAGCAUGCGCAGGCGGUUCGUUGUGUCGGUGGUGAAAGCCCCGGGCUUAACCUGGGAAUGGCCAUGGAAACUGGCGAACUGGAGUGUGGCAGAGGGGGGUGGAAUUCCGCGUGUAGCAGUGAAAUGCGUAGAGAUGCGGAGGAACACCGAUGGCGAAGGCAGCCCCCUGGGCUAGCACUGACGCUCAGGCACGAAAGCGUGGGGAGCAAACAGG
rnacentral:rRNA from 1 species